rnacentral:misc_RNA from 1 species
GUAUAAGUUUUUAUAGGCACAAAGGCCCAAUAUGUUACAUUCUGUUACAUUCAAUGGGGUAUAUGAAAAAACAUAGACUUGGAAAUGCAAGGAAAGCCAGCUAGUGCCAGCAAGUCCUCCCGACCGAGUUGCCUCGGAAAGUCAAUCCAAGUCUACAAGAGGUGCACAGGUGGAGAGAUGAGGAUGAUGGGUGUGCACAUGCCCCCGAAAGGGCCAGCAACAACCACACCAAGUUCAUUCAAUAAUGAUCCUUCCGCAGGUUCACCUACGGAAA